AAUGAACGCUAGCUACAGGCUUAACACAUGCAAGUCGAGGGGCAGCAUGGACAUAGCUUGCUAUGUUUGGUGGCGACCGGCGCACGGGUGCGUAACACGUAUCCAAUCUGCCCGUUACUCGGGGAUAGCCUUCUGAAAGGAAGAUUAAUACCCGAUGGCAUGUAUUUCCGGCAUCGGAGAUACAUUAAAGAUUUAUCGGUAACGGAUGAGGAUGCGUACGAUUAGCUUGUUGGCGGGGUAACGGCCCACCAAGGCAACGAUCGUUAGGGGUUCUGAGAGGAAGGUCCCCCACACUGGAACUGAGACACGGUCCAGACUCCUACGGGAGGCAGCAGUGAGGAAUAUUGGUCAAUGGUCGGAAGACUGAACCAGCCAAGUAGCGUGAAGGAUGACUGCCCUACGGGUUGUAAACUUCUUUUGUUUGGGAAUAAAAGACGCUACGUGUAGCGUUCUGCAUGUACCUUACGAAUAAGCAUCGGCUAAUUCCGUGCCAGCAGCCGCCGUAAUAC
rnacentral:rRNA from 1 species